rnacentral:rRNA from 1 species
AUUGAACGCUGGCGGCAGGCCUAACACAUGCAAGUCGAGCGAGCGGCGGACGGGUGAGUAAUGUCUGGGAAACUGCCUGAUGGAGGGGGAUAACUACUGGAAACGGUAGCUAAUACCGCAUACUAUCAGAUGAGCCCAGAUGGGAUUAGCUAGUUGGUGGGGUAACGGCUCACCAAGGCGACGAUCCCUAGCUGGUCUGAGAGGAUGACCAGCCACACUGGAACUGAGACACGGUCCAGACUCCUACGGGAGGCAGCAGUGGGGAAUAUUGGACAAUGGGCGCAAGCCUGAUCCAGCCAUGCCGCGUGUGUGAAGAAGGCCUUAGGGUUGUAAAGCACUUUAAGCGGGGAGGCGUUACCCGCAGAAGAAGCACCGGCUAACUCCGUGCCAGCAGCCGCGGUAAUAC